AUUGAACGCUGGCGGCAGGCCUAACACAUGCAAGUCGAGCGGUAGAGAGGUGCUUGCACCUCUUGAGAGCGGCGGACGGGUGAGUAAAGCCUAGGAAUCUGCCUGGUAGUGGGGGAUAACGCUCGGAAACGGACGCUAAUACCGCAUACGUCCUACGGGAGAAAGCAGGGGACCUUCGGGCCUUGCGCUAUCAGAUGAGCCUAGGUCGGAUUAGCUAGUUGGUGAGGUAAUGGCUCACCAAGGCGACGAUCCGUAACUGGUCUGAGAGGAUGAUCAGUCACACUGGAACUGAGACACGGUCCAGACUCCUACGGGAGGCAGCAGUGGGGAAUAUUGGACAAUGGGCGAAAGCCUGAUCCAGCCAUGCCGCGUGUGUGAAGAAGGUCUUCGGAUUGUAAAGCACUUUAAGUUGGGAGGAAGGGCAUUAACCUAAUA
rnacentral:rRNA from 1 species